GGAGGAAGCAGGGGAUCGCAAGACCUUGCGCUUUUGGAGCGGCCGAUGUCUGAUUAGCUUGUUGGUAAGGUAAAAGCUUACCAAGGCUUCGAUCAGUAGCUGGUCUGAGGGGACGACCAGCCACACUGGGACUGAGACACGGCCCAGACUCCUACGGGAGGCAGCAGUGGGGAAUUUUGGACAAUGGGGGCAACCCUGAUCCAGCCAUGCCGCGUGAGUGAAGAAGGCCUUCGGGUUGUAAAGCUCUUUCAGCCGGAACGAAACGGUUACGGUUAAUACCCGUGACUACUGACGGUACCGGAAGAAGAAGCACCGGCUAACUACGUGCCAGCAGCCGCGGUAAUACGUAGGGUGCGAGCGUUAAUCGGAAUUACUGGGCGUAAAGCGUGCGCAGGUGGUUUUGUAAGUCAGAUGUGAAAUCCCCGGGCUCAACCUGGGAACUGCGUUUGAAACUACAAAGCUAG
rnacentral:rRNA from 1 species